UACGGGGGGGGCAAGCGUUGUUCGGAAUUACUGGGCGUAAAGGGCGCGUAGGCGGCCGUUUGCGUCGGAUGUGAAAGCCCGGGGCUCAACCCCGGAACGGCAUCCGAUACGGGACGGCUGGAGACCGGGAGAGGAGGGUGGAAUAGCCAGUGUAGAGGUGAAAUUCGUAGAUAUUGGCUGGAACACCGGUGGCGAAAGCGGCUCUCUGGCCCGGUUCUGACGCUGAGGCGCGAAAGCGUGGGGAGCAAACAGG
rnacentral:rRNA from 1 species